rnacentral:rRNA from 1 species
ACGGAGGGUGCAAGCGUUAAUCGGAAUUACUGGGCGUAAAGCGCACGCAGGCGGUUUGUUAAGUCAGAUGUGAAAUCCCCGGGCUCAACCUAGGAACUGCAUCUGAAACUAUCAAGCUCGAGUCGCGUAGAGGAGGGUAGAAUUCCAGGUGUAGCGGUGAAAUGCGUAGAGAUCAGGAGGAAUACCGGUGGCGAAGGCGGCCUCCUGGACGAAGACUGACGCUGAGGUGCGAGAGCGUGGGGAGCAAACAG